UCCGCGAUAGGAUAGUUUGGUCAAGUCUACGGGACUGUGGAUCCUGUGACCCGGGUUCAAAUCUCGGUCGCGGAC
rfam:Candidatus Altiarchaeales archaeon A3 Ga0073111_1098, whole genome shotgun sequence.